rnacentral:rRNA from 1 species
UACAGAGGAUGCAAGCGUUAUCCGGAAUGAUUGGGCGUAAAGCGUCUGUAGGUGGCUUUUUAAGUCCGCCGUCAAAUCCCAGGGCUCAACUCUGGACAGGCGGUGGAAACUACCAAGCUGGAGUACGGUAGGGGCAGAGGGAAUUUCCGGUGGAGCGGUGAAAUGCGUAGAGAUGUGGAGGAACACCAGUGGCGAAGGCGGCUUUCUGGUCUGUAACUGACGCUGAGGCGCGAAAGCGUGGGGAGCAAACAGG